UAAUUAAGUAGACUUUAUGAUAGUAAAGACACUUUAUGUGGGGCGUUACCAGUAACGCCCCGGACUUAACGCACCUUAAACCCUCUCCUACGUGGGCUGGCUGGGGUCCUGGCGCACUCUAUAUAAGCCACCCCCCUCCACAGGUAGAAGGGUUCGGCACUCUGUAACUCAUAUACACAUAAUCCACUCGACCGCCUCCGGGCUCCGAGACGUAGGGCUUUUACUUCCUCCGAGAAGGGCCUGAACUCGUACAUCUCUUGUGUUUACAACCUCUCCAUAGCUAGGACCUUGCCUCUCCAUACCUAC
rnacentral:rRNA from 1 species